CUAACAUGUGCGCGAGUCAAUGGGUCCCUCAAAACCCAGAGGCGCAUGAAACGUGAAGGCGCGGCCUCGAUCGUGCCGUGCGAGUUGCGAUCCCGGGCCGCCCAGGGUCCGAUGAAGGGAGCAGCAACGGCCCGCCCCACACGCUCACGUCGUGGGGGCGGCGCUAGAGCGCACACGUUGACACCCGAAAGAUGGUGAACUAUGCCCGGGCAGGACGAGGCCAGAGGAAACUCUGGUGGAGGCCCGAAGCGCUUCUGAUGUGCAAAUCGAUCGCCCGACCCAGGUGUAGCGGCGAAAGACUAAUCAAACCAACUAGUAGCUGG
rnacentral:ncRNA from 1 species